GACGAACGCUGGCGGCGUGCUUAACACAUGCAAGUCGAACGGAAAGGCCUCUUUCGGGGGGUACUCGAGUGGCGAACGGGUGAGUAACACGUGAGUAACCUGCCUUUGACUUUGGGAUUACUUCAGGAAACUGGGGCUAAUACCGGAUAGGAGCUCCUGCUGCAUGGUGUGGGUUGGAAAGUUUCGGGGGUUGGGGUUGGCCUCGCGGCUUAUCAGCUUGUUGGGGGGGUAGGGGCUUACCAAGGCUUUGGCGGGUAGCCGGCGUGGGAGGGUGACCGGCCACAGGCGGACUGAGAUAGAGACCCGACUCCGACGGGUGCGGGCAGUGGGGAAUAGUGCACAAUGGGUGGAAGCCAAAUGCUGCAACGGCGUGGGCGGGAGGACGGCCUUCGGGUUGGAAUCGGCAUUCGCUCAUGACGGAGCUUUGUGUGACGGUAGUGGGUAAAGAAGCACCGGCUAACUACGUG
rnacentral:rRNA from 1 species